GUUAUACUAUGUUUUUAGGUAUACCAACUGUUUUUGUACUAUCUAGGCAUAUACAUGUCUGUAGUAUGACUGAAUACAUCCGUUUAGUAAUGCAUCUAAGCGAGAUGUGUUAUAUACAUAUAUUGUAAGGCUACAAAUACGAUACACAAGACUUUUGUUGUAUGCAUGCAGAGAGUGGGAGUUUUGUUGCAUACAAAUAUUAUUAAUUAUCUAAAAAACUUCCACUCUCCAAGCGUCUCCCAACUAAUGUUCAAUACAUGUAUAUAUUACA